rnacentral:rRNA from 1 species
UACGAAGGACCCGAGCGUUAUCCGGAUUUAUUGGGUUUAAAGGGUGCGUAGGCGGACACGCAAGUCAGUGGUGAAAUCUCCCAGCUUAACUGGGAAACUGCCAUUGAAACUAUGUGUCUUGAGUACAUUUGAGGCGGGCGGAAUGUGUCAUGUAGAGGUGGAAAUUCUUAGAUAUGACACAGAACACCAAUUGCGAAGGCAGCUCGCUAAACUGUAACUGACGCUGAGGCACGAAAGCGUGGGGAUCAAACAGG